AUUGAACGCUGGCGGCAGGCCUAACACAUGCAAGUCGAACGAGUGGCGGACGGGUGAGUAAUGUCUGGGAAACUGCCCGAUGGCGGGGGAUAACUACUGGAAACGGUAGCUAAUACCGCAUACCAUCGGAUGUGCCCCGAUGGGAUUAGCUAGUAGGUGGGGUAACGGCUCACCUAGGCGACGAUCCCUAGCUGGUCUGAGAGGAUGACCAGCCACACUGGAACUGAGACACGGUCCAGACGCCGAGGGGAGGCAGCAGUGGGGAAUAGUGCACAAGGGGGGAAAGGGUGAUGCAGCAAUGCCGCGUGAAUGAAGAAGGCCUUCGGGUUGUAAAGUACUUUCAGCGAGGAGGCGGGAAUCGAAGAAGAAGCACCGGCUAACUCCGUGCCAGCAGCCGCGGUAAUAG
rnacentral:rRNA from 1 species